CAUCAAAAUGUAGCUUAAUCCAAAGCAUUUAGCUUACGCCUAAAAGAUUUCAGCUAACCCUGACCAUUUUGA
rnacentral:tRNA from 1 species